CAAUAGCGUAUAUUAAAGUUGUUGCGGUAAAAAAGCUCGUAGUUGGAUUUCUACCGAAGAUAGCCGGUCGGGUCUUCGACCUUGUAUCUGGUUUUGUCUUUGGUAUCCUCAUAGGGAACGUUUCUGCGCUUUAUUGCGUGGUGCGGUAUCUAUGACUUUUACUUUGAGGAAAUUAGAGUGUUCACGGCAGGCAAACGCCUUGAAUAUAUUAGCAUGGAAUGAUAACAUAGGAUCUUCGUCCUAUUUUGUUGGUUUCUAGGGCUAAGAUAAUGAUUAAUAGGGAUAAUUGGGGGCAUCUGUAUCAACGCGUCAGAGGUGGAAUUCUUGGAUUGCGUUGCGACAAACUACUGCGAAAGCAUUUGCCAAGGAUGUUUUCAUUGA
rnacentral:rRNA from 1 species